rnacentral:rRNA from 1 species
UGAGGAAUAUUGGUCAAUGGACGAGGGUCUGAACCAGCCAAGUAGCGUGAAGGAUGAAGGUCCUACGGAUUGUAAACUUCUUUUAUAAGGGAAUAAACCCUCCCACGUGUGGGAGCUUGUAUGUACCUUAUGAAUAAGCAUCGGCUAACUCCGUGCCAGCAGCCGCGGUAAUACGGAGGAUGCGAGCGUUAUCCGGAUUUAUUGGGUUUAAAGGGAGCGUAGGUGGAUUGUUAAGUCAGUUGUGAAAGUUUGCGGCUCAACCGUAAAAUUGCAGUUGAAACUGGCAGUCUUGAGUACAGUAGAGGUGGGCGGAAUUCGUAGUGUAGCGGUGAAAUGCUUAGAUAUCACGAAGAACUCCGAUUGCGAAGGCAGCACACUAAUCCGUAACUGACGUUCAUGCUCGAAAGUGUGGGUAUCAAACAGGAUUAGAUACCCUGGUAGUCCACACGGUAAACGAUGGAUACUCGCUGUUGGCGAUAUACUGUCAGCGGCUUAGCGAAAGCGUUAAGUAUCCCACCUGGGGAGUACGCCGGCAACGGUGAAACUCAAAGGAAUUGACGGGGGCCCGCACAAGCGGAGGAACAUGUGGUUUAAUUCGAUGAUACGCGAGGAACCUUACCCGGGCUUAAAUUGCAAAGGAAUAAUCUGGAAACAGGUUAGUCUUCGGACCUUUGUGAAGGUGCUGCAUGGUUGUCGUCAGCUCGUGCCGUGAGGUGUCGGCUUAAGUGCCAUAACGAGCGCAACCCUCGCCGCCAGUUACUAACAGUUAAAGCUGAGGACUCUGGCGGGACUGCCAUCGUAAGAUGUGAGGAAGGUGGGGAUGACGUCAAAUCAGCACGGCCCUUACGUCCGGGGCUACACACGUGUUACAAUGGGCGGUACAGAAGGCAGCUACCUGGCGACAGGAUGCCAAUCCCGAAAGCCGCUCUCAGUUCGGACUGGAGUCUGCAACCCGACUCCACGAAGCUGGAUUCGCUAGUAAUCGCGCAUCAGCCACGGCGCGGUGAAUACGUUCCC